rnacentral:rRNA from 1 species
ACUGCUCAGUAACACGUGGAUAACAUGCCCUAGAGUGGAGGAUAAUCUCGGGAAAUUGAGGAUAAUACUCCAUAGAUCAUGAAUUCUGGAACGACUCAUGGUCGAAAGUUCCGGCGCUCUAGGAUUGGUCUGCGGCCUAUCAGGUAGUAGUGGGUGUAACGGACCCACUAGCCGACGACGGGUAUGGGCCUUGAGAGAGGGAGCCCAGAGAUGGAAUCUGAGACACGAUUCCAGGCCCUACGGGGCGCAGCAGUCGCGAAAACUUCACAAUGGAGGCAACUCCGAUGAGGGAAUUCCAAGUGCUAGCACAUUAGUGUUAGCUUUUCUUAAGCGUAGACAACUUAAGGAAUAAGGGCUGGGUAAGACGGGUGCCAGCCGCCGCGGUAAUACCCGCAGCUCAAGUGGUGGUCGAUUUUAUUGAGUCUAAAACGUUCGUAGCCGGUUCAUUAAAUCCUUGGGUAAAUCGAGAGGCUUAACCUUUYGAAUUCCGAGGAGACUGCCAAACUUGGGACCGGGAGAGGCGAGAGGUACUUYUGGGGUAGGGGUAAAAUCCUGUAAUCCUAGAAGGACCACCGGUGGCGAAGGCGUCUCGCUAGAACGGAUCCGACGGUGAGGGACGAAGCCCUGGGUCGCAAACGGGAUUAGAUACCCCGGUAGUCCAGGGUGUAAACGCUGCAGACUUGGUGUUGGGGGCCCUACGGGGGCGUUCAGUGCCGGAGAGAAGUUGUUAAGUCUGCUACUUGGGGAGUACGUCCGCAAGGAUGAAACUUAAAGGAAUUGGCGGGGGAGCAC